rnacentral:rRNA from 1 species
UACGAAGGGGGCUAGCGUUGCUCGGAAUCACUGGGCGUAAAGGGUGCGUAGGCGGGUCUUUAAGUCAGGGGUGAAAUCCUGGAGCUCAACUCCAGAACUGCCUUUGAUACUGAAGAUCUUGAGUCCGGGGAGAGGUGAGUGGAACUGCGAGUGUAGAGGUGAAAUUCGUAGAUAUUCGCAAGAACACCAGUGGCGAAGGCGGCUCACUGGCCCGGUACUGACGCUGAGGCACGAAAGCGUGGGGGAGCAAACAGG